CGGGGUGACGGUGUGUGCAGACCAAUAAGCGGGAAGAGAGAGGACUGGGAACCAACGAGGCGGAUCGGGUGGGGCUGUUGGGAACCAAUGAGAAUCCUUCCCAGGCCGAGGAGCGUGACCCUGGGAAGGUCGAGUUAGGGCUUGAGGAGAGCUAAGCCCGGUUCCGGGGUGGAAACCUGAAGGUGACCUACAGGACUGCAGCCAGCGCCCAAGGCCAGCUCCACAGGCCUAAUAUGGAGGUCAUGCUGGCCUUUGGCUGCGUUCCCUGAUAUCCAGUACCGGGACCACCCUGGAGUCAGGGAGGAUGCGGUCAGCAUGCCAUGGUUCUGUGAUCCUGGCCUCAGGCCUCCAACCCCUAGCAUCCCCCACUGGAAAACUGGCCCACACCCUUGGUGAUCUCACCAUUGCCUGGAGUGCAGUGGCUUUAGCAUGGCCACAGUAAUGAGCCAUUUGAUGAGCAAUGGUGAGACCCUGCAGUGGCUUGACCAUGUAGCCUUGAACUCCUGGGCUCAAGGAAGCCUCCCACCUCAGCCUCCCGACUAGGACUACAGAUGCACACCACCGCA